GGCUCAGUGAUGAAAUUGGUAGACGUGCCGGAUUCAAAAUCCGGUCCUGGAAACAGGGUGUCGGUUCGAGUCCGACCUGAGCCA
rnacentral:tRNA from 1 species